AUUGAACGCUGGCGGCAGGCUUAACACAUGCAAGUCGAGCGGGGAGAUGUAGCUUGCUACAUUUCCUAGCGGCGGACGGGUGAGUAAUGCUUAGGAAUCUGCCUAUUAGUGGGGGACAACGUUUCGAAAGGAACGCUAAUACCGCAUACGCCCUACGGGGGAAAGCAGGGGAUCUUCGGACCUUGCGCUAAUAGAUGAGCCUAAGUCAGAUUAGCUAGUUGGUGGGGUAAAGGCCUACCAAGGCGACGAUCUGUAGCGGGUCUGAGAGGAUGAUCCGCCACACUGGGUCUGAGACACGGCCCAGACUCCUACAGGAGGCAGCAGUGGGGAAUAUUGGACAAUGGGGGGAACCCUGAUCCAGCCAUGCCGCGUGUGUGAAGAAGGCCUUUUGGUUGUAAAGCACUUUAAGCGAGGAGGAGGCUACUAGUACUAAUACUACUGGAUAGUGGACGUUACUCGCAGAAUAAGCACCGGCUAACUCUGUGCCAGCCGCCGCCGUAAUAC
rnacentral:rRNA from 1 species